rnacentral:rRNA from 1 species
AAUAGAUACCCUGGUAGUCCACGCCGUAAACGAUGAGUGCUAAGUGUUAGAGGGUUUCCGCCCUUUAGUGCUGCAGCUAACGCAUUAAGCACUCCGCCUGGGGAGUACGGCCGCAAGGCUGAAACUCAAAGGAAUUGACGGGGGCCCGCACAAGCGGCGGAGCAUGUGGUUUAAUUCGAAGCAACGCGAAGAACCUUACCAGGUCUUGACAUCCUCUGCCACUCCUAGAGAUAGGACGUUCCCCUUCGGGGGACAGAGUGACAGGUGGUGCAUGGUUGUCGUCAGCUCGUGUCGUGAGAUGUUGGGUUAAGUCCCGCAACGAGCGCAACCCUUGUUCUUAGUUGCCAGCAUUCAGUUGGGCACUCUAAGGAGACUGCCGGUGACAAACCGGAGGAAGGUGGGGAUGACGUCAAAUCAUCAUGCCCCUUAUGACCUGGGCUACACACGUGCUACAAUGGAUGGUACAAAGGGCUGCGAAACCGCGAGGUUAAGCCAAUCCCAUAAAACCAUUCUCAGUUCGGA